rnacentral:rRNA from 1 species
AUUGAACGCUGGCGGCAGGCCUAACACAUGCAAGUCGAACGGUAACAGGAAGAAGCUUGCUUCUUUGCUGACGAGUGGCGGACGGGUGAGUAAUGUCUGGGAAACUGCCUGAUGGAGGGGGAUAACUACUGGAAACGGUAGCUAAUACCGCAUAACGUCGCAAGACCAAAGAGGGGGACCUUCGGGCCUCUUGCCAUCGGAUGUGCCCAGAUGGGAUUAGCUAGUAGGUGGGGUAACGGCUCACCUAGGCGACGAUCCCUAGCUGGUCUGAGAGGAUGACCAGACACACUGGAACUGAGACACGGUCCAGACUCCUACGGGAGACAGCAGUGGGGAAUAUUGCACAAUGGGCGCAAGCCUGAUGCAGCCAUGCCGCGUGUAUGAAGAAGGCCUUCGGGUUGUAAAGUACUUUCAGCGGGGAGGAAGGGAGUAAAGUUAAUACCUUUGCUCAUUGACGUUACCCGCAGAAGAAGCACCGGCUAACUCCGUG